rnacentral:rRNA from 1 species
AGCUAUACAUGCAAGUCGAGCGGACAGAUGGGAGCUUGCUCCCUGAUGUUAGCGGCGGACGGGUGAGUAACACGUGGGUAACCUGCCUGUAAGACUGGGAUAACUCCGGGAAACCGGGGCUAAUACCGGAUGGUUGUUUGAACCGCAUGGUUCAAACAUAAAAGGUGGCUUCGGCUACCACUUACAGAUGGACCCGCGGCGCAUUAGCUAGUUGGUGAGGUAACGGCUCACCAAGGCAACGAUGCGUAGCCGACCUGAGAGGGUGAUCGGCCACACUGGGACUGAGACACGGCCCAGACUCCUACGGGAGGCAGCAGUAGGGAAUCUUCCGCAAUGGACGAAAGUCUGACGGAGCAACGCCGCGUGAGUGAUGAAGGUUUUCGGAUCGUAAAGCUCUGUUGUUAGGGAAGAACAAGUACCGUUCGAAUAGGGCGGUACCUUGACGGUACCUAACCAGAAAGCCACGGCUAACUACGUGCCAGCAGCCGCGGUAAUACGUAGGUGGCAAGCGUUGUCCGGAAUUAUUGGGCGUAAAGGGCUCGCAGGCGGUUUCUUAAGUCUGAUGUGAAAGCCCCCGGCUCAACCGGGGAGGGUCAUUGGAAACUGGGGAACUUGAGUGCAGAAGAGGAGAGUGGAAUUCCACGUGUAGCGGUGAAAUGCGUAGAGAUGUGGAG